rnacentral:rRNA from 1 species
GCCAGACUCCUACGGGAGGCAGCAGUGGGGAAUAUUGCGCAAUGGGCGAAAGCCUGACGCAGCGACGCCGCGUGAGGGAUGAAGGUCUUCGGAUCGUAAACCUCUGUCAGCAGGGAAGAACGGUCACUGUGCUAAUCAGCAGUGAAUUGACGGUACCUGAGUAAGAAGCACCGGCUAAAUACGUGCCAGCAGCCGCGGUAAUACGUAUGGUGCAAGCGUUAUCCGGAUUUACUGGGUGUAAAGGGAGCGUAGACGGCGGUGCAAGCCAGAUGUGAAAGCCCGGGGCUCAACCCCGGGACUGCAUUUGGAACUGUGCUGCUAGAGUGUCGGAGAGGCAGGCGGAAUUCCUAGUGUAGCGGUGAAAUGCGUAGAUAUUAGGAGGAACACCAGUGGCGAAGGCGGCCUGCUGGACGAUGACUGACGUUGAGGCUCGAAAGCGUGGGGAGCAAACAGGAUUAGAUACCCCCGUA